AACGAACGCUGGCGGCAGGCCUAACACAUGCAAGUCGAACGCCCUGGCAACAGGGAGUGGCAGACGGGUGAGUAACGCGUGGGAACGUGCCCUUCGGUUCGGAAUAACUCAGGGAAACUUGAGCUAAUACCGGAUACGUGCGAGAGCAGAAAGAUUUAUCGCCGAAGGAUCGGCCCGCGUCCGAUUAGCUAGUUGGUGAGGUAACGGCUCACCAAGGCGACGAUCGGUAGCUGGUCUGAGAGGAUGAUCAGCCACACUGGGACUGAGACACGGCCCAGACUCCUACGGGAGGCAGCAGUGGGGAAUAUUGGACAAUGGGCGCAAGCCUGAUCCAGCCAUGCCGCGUGAGUGAUGAAGGCCCUAGGGUUGUAAAGCUCUUUCGCCAGGGACGAUAAUGACGGUACCUGGAUAAGAAGCCCCGGCUAACUUCGUGCCAGCCGCCGCCGUAA
rnacentral:rRNA from 1 species